ACAUCCAUCGUACGAUGCCUGACCUACGGAGCCGAGCACGAAGAAAUCGGGAACCCGUGAAACCUACUCCGAAUCAGAAUCCGAUUAAGCUCACUGUACAGACUCGUCGGAGAAAAACUGCUGAGAACAAGGGAAAAAAUAACGCGAUCGCUGUUGAAGAUAAGAAUAAUAUUGUGAACCUUGAAACGACACCGUUAGAGACGCAUCCUAGGGCUUUUAGAGAGGAGGUUGCAGAGAAGACAAUGGAUGAGUACGAUAGCGGCGGCCGCAGCGGUGACAAAGGUCCCCGGGCUGAGGACGAAGGAAGCACGGCUCCGCUUCCUGAGAAGGUUCAAGUUGGAGGCUCCCCAGCCUACAGAAUAGAAAGAAAACUGGGUAAAGGAGGUUUCGGACAAGUAUAUGUUGGUCGACGCAUUAGUCCCUCUGCUUCAAAUGAAAGAAGUGGCCCUGGAGCUGUUGAGGUAGCUCUGAAAUUUGAACAUAGAAGUAGCAAAGGAUGCAAUUAUGGACCACCCUACGAGUGGCAAGUUUACAAUGCUCUUGGAGGUAGUCAUGGUGUCCCGCGAGUUCAUUACAAAGGCCGGCAAGGUGACUACUAUGUCAUGGUUAUGGAUAUGCUUGGACCUAGUUUAUGGGAUGUUUGGAAUAACAAUUCACACACGAUGUCCAUUGAAAUGGUUGCAUGCAUUGCCAUUGAAUCAAUCUCUAUACUAGAGAAGAUGCAUUCUAGAGGAUAUGUGCAUGGGGAUGUAAAACCAGAGAACUUUUUGCUUGGUCCUCCAGGAACCCCUGAGGAAAAAAAGCUUUUUUCUUAUUGACCUUGGACUAGCAACCAGGUGGCGAGACACUUCAACUGGCCUGCAUGUUGAAUAUGAUCAACGUCCUGAUGUUUUUAGGGGAACAGUGCGGUAUGCUAGCGUUCAUGCUCAUCUUGGUAGAACUGGUAGUAGGAGAGAUGACUUAGAGUCUCUUGCUUACACACUCAUUUUUCUUCUCCGUGGUCGGUUACCUUGGCAGGGAUAUCAGGGGGAAAAUAAAGGGUUCCUAGUUUGCAAGAAGAAGAUGGCAACGUCCCCAGAAACUUUGUGUUGUUUCUGCCCUCAGCCUUUUCGUCAGUUUGUUGAGUACGUGGUAAAUCUGAAAUUUGACGAGGAACCCAAUUACGCUAAAUAUAUCUCCCUUUUUGAUGGGAUUGUUGGUCCAAAUCCAGAUAUUAGGCCAAUAAACACUGAUGGUGCCCAGAAGCUUAUAUAUCAGGUUGGACAUAAGCGAGGACGAUUGACAAUGGAAGAGGAAGAAGAUGAACAACCAAAGAAGAAGGUACGGAUGGGAAUGCCUGCAACACAAUGGAUCAGUGUUUACAAUGCUCGCCGUCCAAUGAAGCAGAGAUAUCACUAUAAUGUAGCUGAUAUGAGGCUUUCACAACAUAUAGAGAAAGGAAAUGAGGAUGGGUUAUUUAUCAGCAGUGUGGCUUC
rnacentral:misc_RNA from 1 species